UACGUAGGGAGCGAGCGUUGUCCGGAUUCAUUGGGCGUAAAGAGCUCGUAGGCGGCUUGGCAAGUCGGGUGUGAAAACUCCAGGCUCAACCUGGAGACGCCACCCGAUACUGCCAUGGCUAGAGUCCGGUAGGGGACCACGGAAUUCCUGGUGUAGCGGUGAAAUGCGCAGAUAUCAGGAGGAACACCGGUGGCGAAGGCGGUGGUCUGGGCCGGAACUGACGCUGAGGAGCGAAAGCGUGGGGAGCGAACAUG
rnacentral:rRNA from 1 species